GUCAAUUUGGCCGAGUGGUUAAGGCGACAGACUUGAAAUCUGUUGGGCAUUGCCCGCGCAGGUUCGAACCCUGCAGUUGACGA
rnacentral:tRNA from 1 species